UGGACAAGUCUAAAAUGGCUUGUUAUAAAGAGCCGACCCCGCAACCAUACGGGACUAAGGCCAAAGAAAAGGAAGAAGAUUGUUUGUCCUCACAAUGAAAUUGGUUAGAAAGAGUGUUUACAGGUCUGGUAAUCCUGCCACAAACUUACUUCACCUCCAAUUUUUGCACAGAGCUGAUCUCCUUUUGUUGCACAUCAGGAUUUGUCAAGAUUUAAUUUCAGAAUGCCAUCGGUGCAGAAAGGCCAUCUAUGCAGUGUGCAGGAUGUGAUUUCUACAGUUCAAAAUGGACAAAGGGAUUUUGAAAUGGAUGAAAGCGACUCGGAGAAAAAAGAUGCAGGUGAAAUAAACAUAUAAAACCACCAACCCAUUGACUGCUCUGCCAAUGAUAAUAUGGACAUCAAGCCCCAACCAAAUAAACACACCAUGCCACAUGAAAUGUUUUGCUGGUUGAAAAGAAGUUUUUCAGUCUCAAUACUCAUUUUUCUUGUGCAGAAAUCGCCAAUGUUGCCAC
rnacentral:lncRNA from 1 species